rnacentral:rRNA from 1 species
ACUUCGGUACAUCGGUGACAGGUGGUGCAUGGUUGUCGUCAGCUCGUGUCGUGAGAUGUUGGUUAAGUCCCGCAACGAGCGCAACCCCUAUGUUAGUUGCCAUCAUUCAGUUGGGCACUCUAGCGAGACUGCCGGUAAUAAACCGGAGGAAGGUGGGGAUGACGUCAAAUCAUCAUGCCCCUUAUGACCUGGGCUACACACGUGCUACAAUGGUUGGUACAACGAGUUGCGAGUCGGUGACGGCGAGCUAAUCUCUUAAAGCCAAUCUCGGUUCGGAUUGUAGGCUGCAACUCGCCUACAUGAAGUCGGAAUCGCUAGUAAUCGCGGAUCAGCACGCCGCGGUGAAUACGUUCCCGGGCCUU